rnacentral:rRNA from 1 species
GACGAACGCUGGCGGCGUGCUUAACACAUGCAAGUCGAGCGGUAAGGCCCUUUCGGGGGUACACGAGCGGCGAACGGGUGAGUAACACGUGGGUGACCUGCCCUUAGCUCUGGGAUAAGCCUGGGAAACUGGGUCUAAUACCGGAUAUGACUCCAUGACGCAUGUUGUGGGGUGGAAAGCCUUGUGCGGCUAGGGAUGGGCCCGCGGCCUAUCAGCUUGUUGGUGGGGUGAUGGCCUACCAAGGCGACGACGGGUAGCCGGCCUGAGAGGGCGACCGGCCACACUGGGGACUGAGACACGGCCCAGACUCCUACGGGAGGCAGCAGUGGGGAAUCUUGCGCAAUGGGCGAAAGCCUGACGCAGCGACGCCGCGUGGGGAUGACGGCC